rnacentral:rRNA from 1 species
GAUCAUUACCAAACGCAAAGACGCUCCUGGUUGGGAAACCAACCCUGAGUGCAAACCCUCUGUGAAUCAGAAAAAACAUACCCGUUCGCUUCCGCGGUUGGAUAGCAUUAUCCGUAAUCCCGCGGUUGGUAACCGGACGCUUUAAACUUUGUACCUAGAAAUUUCGUCUGAAAAAUCGUUAAUAACGAAUGAAAUUAAAACUUUCAACAACGGAUCUCUUGGUUCUCGCAUCGAUGAAGAACGCAGCGAAACGCGAUAGUUAAUGUGAAUUGCAGAAUUCAGUGAAUCAUCGAGUCUUUGAACGCACAUUGCGCCUAUUGGUAUUCCGAUAGGCACGUCUGUUUGAGCGUCAUCUCAACCCUUCGGGUCCCAGCUGCUUCAAAACCAGUUGGGCCGCCCGGUAGUGAAUCCGGUUCAAGCUUUCUAAGCUGGCCUGGUUCUAAAUUGGCAAGCUCCUAGCGGUGCAACCCCUCAACUGGUCCACAAUGAGACGUAGUAAGCUUACUGAGCACAAUCGUUUUNUGCGCUGGAAUUCAGGUGGGUUUGGGUAAGAACUGCCUGCGCAAGCAAAAAUUUCAAACCAAGGUUUGACCUCAGAUCAGACGAGGAUACCCGCUGAACUUAAGCAUAUCAAUAAGCGGAGGAAAAGAAACCAACCGGGAUUGCCUUAGUAACGGCGAGUGAAGCGGCAAGAGCUCAAAUUUGAAAUCUGACACCAGUCCGAGUUGUAAUUUGAAGAGGAUGCUUCGGUUGCGGCCACGGCCCAAGUUCCUUGGAACAGGACGUCGCAGAGGGUGAGAAUCCCGUUCAGCGGCUGCCGGCUUGCUUCCAUGUGUAGCUCCUUCGAAGAGUCGAGUUGUUUGGGAAUGCAGCUCAAAAUGGGUGGUAAAUUCCAUCUAAAGCUAAAUAUUGGCGAGAGACCGAUAGCGCACAAGUAGAGUGAUCGAAAGAUGAAAAGCACUUUGAAAAGAGAGUUAAACAGUACGUGAAAUUGUUGAAAGGGAAGCGCUUGCAAUCAGACUCACCUGCGGUUGAUCAACGAUCCUUUUGGUUCGUGCACUCUGCCGUUUGUGGGCCAGCAUCGGUCAGCGCGGUGGGACAAAGGCAUUGGGAAUGUGGCUCUCUUCGGGGAGUGUUAUAGCCCAGUGUGUAAUGCCACCAGUGCUGGCCGAGGUUCCGCGG